GUCCGGAAAUACUUAUCAUCGAAAUGAAUAAAAGAGGAUGUAUCUAGAUGUAUUUUAGUUCUAGAUACAUCCCUUUUUGUCCAUUUUGAUGACAAGUAUUUUCGAAC
rnacentral:pre_miRNA from 1 species